rnacentral:rRNA from 1 species
ACGAACGCUGGCGGUGUGCUUCACACAUGCAAGUCGAACGAGGUAGCAAUAUCUAGUGGCGGACGGGUGAGUAACGCGUGGGAAUCUGCCCAAGGGUGGGGGAUAACUAGCCGAAAGGUUAGCUAAUACCGCAUAUGCCGUGAGGUAAAAGGAGUAAUCCGCCCCUGGAUGAGCCUGCGUCUGAUUAGCUAGUUGGUAGGGUAAAGGCCUACCAAGGCUUCGAUCAGUAGCUGGUCUGAGAGGACGAUCAGCCACAAUGGGACUGAGACACGGCCCAUACUCCUACGGGAGGCAGCAGUGGGGAAUUUUACGCAAUGGGCGAAAGCCUGACGUAGCGACACCGCGUGAGCGAAGAAGCCCUUUGGGGUGUAAAGCUCUGUCAGCAGGAACGAAAAAAAUGACGGUACCUGCAGAGGAAGCAUCGGCUAACUACGU